UAAGGAACGGUUGUUGUGCGGUGGCCCAAAGAGGACCAAAGUGUACGACCACUGAUACUGGGAGGCAUUCUGGGGACGGAUGGUCGACUGAAGUCCCCAGAUAUUAAGGUGAAGAUAUUCAGUGUUUAAUUUACCUUUCGUACUUAACAUUUUGAUGCUGAACCGUUGGUACUGAAGCACUGUUUGAAUGCAGAGUAUUUCUACAUUUAAGUAUUGUUUCUUUUACUCACUUAUAAUACUGAGCACCUCCUCCCCCUGUGAACAUACCUCUGAGAACAUGGGGAGCUUCUUGGCGAAGUCGACGACGCGUGUGAUGGCCGGGGUCAUGAUCUUGGUGAACUCGCUGAAGGCUUCCAGGUCCACCUUGUCUCCGUCGGAGGUGGGAAUCAUCGGACCCUGGCCGAUAUCAUCCGACUGGAAACGGGACAAGAGAGGAACUGGAAUUAUUCUCAAGCGGACCCCUGGGCAUUGGUGUGCCGGUGGGCCUCCGUCACCAUGCGGAUCAGCUCCCACUCGGGGGUGUCGGGCUCCGGCCGGGUCUGCAGCGUCCGGACCAUCUCCUCCCUCUUUCUCUUCUGCCGGUUCUCCUCGAUCAGACGCCGCUUCGCCACGCGCUUGGAGUCGUCCAGCACCACUGAGAGGCGGGAAACAUAACGGGGGUUAAUGCUACAUGCUACAUGCUACAUGUCAUCACGCACUGUGACUGCAGGACUCUUUUUAAUCUCUGAUAUCUGAACUGAAGCUGAAUGACUAUAGGGAUAUAAUACUCACGGUCCAUGGCCAUGCCCACGGCGAUGCACUUCUUGAAGCGGCACAGCUGGCACUGGUUGCGGGUGAUCUUGUCGAUGAUGCAGCAGCCUUCAUAUUUACAGGAGUAGGCCGGGUGCAGGUUCUUCUGGAUGGUUCUGCGGAAGAAGCCCUGAAAAGAGAGGAGGAAAGGGAGGGAGACGCAGAGGAGAGGGUUAAAUAAAGGAAGGACAAGGGGGGCUUAUGAAAACCAAGCAGAGAUAGAAAAAGCAUUCAGAGAUUGACAGGAAAUAUGCAACUCAGAGACCUCCAAAUAAAAGGCAGUGAAUAAAUGUUCUUGGUUCAAGAUGUUUUCAUUUUCCCUUUUUAUAAUCUAUAUUUUCUAUUGUUUUUCAGAAAUACUUUGUAUUUGUAUUUAUUAAAAACCUUAUUUUCAUAUUUUCUAAAUUUCGAUUUGCAUAUUUCAGUCUAUUUAUUUCCCCAAAAUA